ACAAUUUGAGUCAUUACAGUAAAACAUGGAUUAUAAGUGAAUUAUACGCGUAAGAGAAGAUUUUCUGUCGAAAAAACUAAUGUCAACAAUCAGCAUGGAAUUGGGAUAUUCGUAUCAAAGGGCUAUUCAUGCAGGAAAAGGACUGAAUAUUACUAUUAUAUGAAGAAUUCCAGCCUGCAUUAAAUACUUUGUUGGAUCAUUGAGACAGAUUUGACAUCCAUGUCUAUCCACAUCUGAUAGAGAUGAUCACUAAACAUUCUAGAUGGGUAAAGACCUGUUAAAUCAGCAUUGACUCAGCAUUGAGUAAUUUUCAUCUGUGCAGACACUACAAGUACAAACGCAUGGGAACAAACCAAACUUCAAAUGUUGAAGAGUGAAGAAUUAUUGUGAAAAGUUCUAAAUGUUAGAAUACCAUUGACUAAAUAAAACAAAUAGACAUCGAUUACCAACAGAGACUGUUUACAUGUUAUAAUAUUAAAAAGACAUUAGUUGAGAACUUUCACUCUGACAUUUUUGGAGGGGCAUUACCGCCUACUUAGUGUUCUUGUUUCUUUACAUAUUUUAAUUUAAAAGUACAUUCAUUGUUUUUAAAUCUGAAUUCUGAGUUAGUAUCAUAAGUAAAAUU